AUUGUCCUAAAGUAUUGCCACCUGAAAAUGGCCGUGUUAUUGCAGAAGAAAAUCAUUAUGGUGUUUCUAUAUUGUAUUUCUGUAACCCUGGUUAUAGAUUAGUAGGUUCAGCUCAACCUUAUUGUACAGCUAAUAAAACCUGGUCUAGUCCAACACCACUAUGUCAAGCAUUCCAUUGUCCAGCUAUAGAGGGGUUAUUAAAUGGUGUUGUUAAUGUAACAGGACGUGUAAAUGUUGGUCAGAUUAUAAGUAUAACAUGUAAUCAGGGAUAUCAACCAUCAUCAGAUAAUAUAUUAACAUGUACAACACAAGAAACAUAUGAUAAACCCGUACCAUCUUGUAACGAUAUAAAUGAAUGUAGUAAUAAUGCUAAUAAUAAUUGUAGUAAUCAUGAUUGUCAGAAUUUACCAGGUAGUUAUCAAUGCUCAUGUAAUAAAGGUUAUCAACAUCCUUCAUCCACAAAUACAUCUUGCC